UCUCCGUAGGUGAACCUGUGGAGGGAUAAUAACUGAGUGAGGGCUUCGGUCCGACCUCCAACCCUUUGUGAACCAAACUUGUUGCUUCGGGGGCGACCCUGCCGCUUCGGCGGUGCGGCGCCCCCGGAGGACAUUAAACACUGCAUCAUUGCGUCGGAGUUAAAGUAAAUUAAACAAAACUUUCAACAACGGAUCUCUUGGUUCCAGCAUCGAUGAAGAACGCAGC
rnacentral:misc_RNA from 1 species